rnacentral:tRNA from 1 species
UCGCCAGUUCAAGUCUGGUUCCUG